UUGCUUGGGCAGCACAUACACUAAAUGGAACAAUAGGAUUAGCAUGGCCCUGCUCAAGGAUGGUUCCAUAUUUUAGACAUGUGUUCUCUAUUUUG
rnacentral:snRNA from 1 species